CCUACGGGAGGCAGCAGUGAGGAAUAUUGGUCAAUGGUCGGGAGACUGAACCAGCCAAGCCGCGUGAGGGAGGAAGGUACAGAGUAUCGUAAACCUCUUUUGUCAGGGAACAAAGACUGGGACGCGUCCCCGGAUGAGUGUACCUGAAGAAAAAGCAUCGGCUAACUCCGUGCCAGCAGCCGCGGUAAUACGGAGGAUGCGAGCGUUAUCCGGAUUUAUUGGGUUUAAAGGGUGCGCAGGCGGUCUGUUAAGUCAGCGGUAAAAGGCCGGGGCUCAACCUCGGCCCGCCGUUGAAACUGGCAGUCUCGAGUUGGAGAGAAGUAUGCGGAAGGCGCGGUGUAGCGGUGAAAUGCAUAGAUAUCGCGCAGAACUCCGAUUGCGAAGGCAGCAUGCCGGCUCCAGACUGACGCUGAGGCACGAAAGCGUGGGUAUCGAACAGGAUUAGAUACCCUUGUAGUC
rnacentral:rRNA from 1 species